UACGUAGGGUGCGAGCGUUAAUCGGAAUUACUGGGCGUAAAGUGUGCGCAGGCGGCCGCGCAAGUCGAGUGUGAAAGCCCCGGGCUUAACUUGGGAAUUGCGCUCGAAACUACGUGGCUGGAGUGUGGCAGAGGAAGGUGGAAUUCCAGGUGUAGCGGUGAAAUGCGUAGAUAUUGGGAGGAACACCAGUGGCGAAGGCGGCUCACUGGACCGGAACUGACGCUGAGGCGCGAAAGCGUGGGGAGCAAACAGG
rnacentral:rRNA from 1 species